GAACGCAUACUUUAGAGUAUGAGUGGCAGACGGGUGAGUAACGCGUGAGACAUCUACCUUACAGCCCGGUAUAAAUAUCUAUAUAGAGGCGAAAAUCUUUAUAUAUGAGUGAAUCCCGGAUAUUUUGAAUAAAAAAAAAGGCAAAGAACCGUUGUAAGAUGAGCUCGCGUAGGAUUAGGUAGUUGGUAAGGUAAAAGCUUAUCCAAGCCGAUGAUCCUUAGCUGUUCUGAGAGGAUGAUCAGCCACACUGGGACUGAGACACGGCCCAGACGCUUUCGAGCGGCAGCAGUGAGGAAUUUUGGACAAUGGGCGAAAGCCUGAUCCAGCUAUAUCGCAUGAAUGAAGAAGGCUCAAUUGGUUGUAAAAUUCGUAGUUUCAUUGUAGAUUAUGACAUUGAUGAAAUGAAUAGUCCCGGCCAACUCCGUGC
rnacentral:rRNA from 1 species